rnacentral:rRNA from 1 species
CGGGAGCCCGGAGACAGGUGCUGCAUGGCUGUCGUCAGCUCGUGUCGUGAGAUGUUGGGUUAAGUCCGCUAACGAGCGCAACCCUCGUCGUGUGUUAUACGUGUCACACGAUACUGCCGGUAUCAAAGCCGGAGGAAGGUGGGGAUGAUGUCAAGUCAGCAUGGCCUUUAUAUCCUGGGCUACACACACGCUACAAUGGCAGAUACAAUAGGUUGCGAAACCGCGAGGUGGAGCCAAUCCUCAAAGUCUGUCUCAGUUCAGAUUGUAGGCUGCAACUCGCCUGCAUGAAGUUGGAGUUGCUAGUAAACGCAGGUCAGCUAUACUGCGUUGAAUACGUUCCCGGGGUUU